rnacentral:lncRNA from 1 species
GUGGUGAUCCUCAGAGGAGCGAUGAAGUAGAGCAGCCAGCACCCCGAGUAGAGCAGGCACUGUGGAAAAAUAGUUGUGACUCAACCAGACCAUUACAAAGUAUGGCCUGGAGGAUUUUCAUUUCAAGGUGCAAGAACAUUCUUAAUGACUGUACACGGCGGCUGCUGAUGGACGAUGUUGGGCCAGAUGUGCUACAGUUAGCGUUAAGGAGGUUGGAGACAAUGCAGAGAAGCCUUCGGUGGGCAAGAGGAAGACUGAUCAAUGUAACUGCGGCAGAUCAACUUCUGCGUGACUUGGCUGAAUUGAUUCAGGAGGUCGAACUGUCUACUCAGCAUGGCCAACAAGGCUGUUUUGGAUACCAGGCACCAGUGGUUUUCAACAGAGGUAGAGGUAGAUCCUUUUUCCUUAUCACUCGGGAGCAGCUUUCAUUCCUGAAGUCAUGUGGAUUCACUGCACCUCAGAUGGCUGGUAUUUUGAAUGUUUCACUUCGUACAAUUCGAAGACGUCUGCAGUCAGUGACUUUCAUUUCUUUGUGACACACA